UUGCUGAACGUUUAUGGAGACUUAACAGUGGAUGUGAGCACAGUGAGGAGAUCUUCCAUCUCUCAUUGAAUAUGGAAAGAGGAAUGGAAUCCUAUGAGUUUUGAAAUCUCACUAGAUGUUAUGUCAAACUACGUGGAAAGAAUCCCGUGCUUCCUAAUGAGAUUCUGCAAAGCAGUAAGGCAUCUUGCUCUCCUGCUCUUGCAUACAGCGUGUUGUGAAGAGCACCACCUUGUGCACAGAAAGUAAAAGGCAUUUAGUGUUAAUAAUGCAAAGUGACUGCUGAGGAACUUUGAAUUAUUGAGAUGAAGCUACAUGAACUCAUCGCAAAAGUACAUGAGAAACAAAAAGAUAUUUUUGUCAUCCAUCCUUUGCACACAUUUUGCACAAGGGAAGGUAAAAAAUGAUUAAGAAGCAGCAGCUUCCUAAUCACAAGAAUUGUGAACACUGAAACUGCUGUAGCAGAGCAUACCAUGCCUGAUAAGGUGCUUUUCAACAGGACAUUUGCAUCUAGGCAAUGGUUCAUGCAUGACUUCGACACUAUAAAUAGAAAAAAAUGGGACCUGACAGUAUCAAAAUGCAGAUAUUUGUUGCAAAACUAUAUUUACCAAAGAAUAGUAUUAUAUACUUGAAUCUGAAAAUGUAGGUUCCAUUCAGAUGCAGAGUAAUCUUCCAAUAUACAGGUAAACUACAGACCUCCAUCUGAAGGGAGAGGAGAUAGUUUAUUCAGUGAAAAUGUUUAUAAUGCAGAUCCUGGCAAACUACAUUAUCCAAAGGAUUUAAAAAUUCUUAAGCUUUAUAAAGAGCAUGCUAACAAGUCAUCUUGAGCUGAAUGCAGCUGUACCCUGGCUGAGAGAAUGUCUUCACUGUCAGCUUUCUCAGACUGUAUAGAGAAGUUACUGAAGUCAAUCACAGAACAGGCUGGGAAGUCAAAGGUUUCUGAUAUUUUAUUACUAAUGUGCAGAAGUACUGUUAGUUCCACCAGCUUUUAUCCAGGAAACUGAGCACAGAUUUACACAGGUCUAGUCCAGUCAUCCCAGAGAACUACUGUAAUUAAAGUAUCAAGCAGC
rnacentral:lncRNA from 7 species